CAAGAAGAGAAACUGUAGAUUUGCCUCAACUCAACAUGUUAAGUAAUCGCCUGACAUCUACAUAAGACCACCUCUUGGCACCUGGCUACACAAGCUGAAAUGGGUGUUAUGUGAGAAAUCCACACAGGAGAAACCCAAGAAAACCACGCAGGUAAAUGCUAGCCUGGAAAGACAGAGGGAAAACAUGCCAAGUGGAGCCCACCACAAGGACAGCAGUCAGA
rnacentral:lncRNA from 1 species